UUGUGAUCUCAUACUGUUAUUUUAGUCAUUUUAUCAUAUGUGGUAACUGUCUCCGGUAGUUCUUAAAUAAUCGUCUCUGAUUUUACUUUUGCCAUCGCACAUACCAUUGCUUGGCGCUCUAUAGCCUUUGUAGCUUUUGCGCCAAUGAACCCUCAUUAUCAUCAUCAUCAUUUCAUGACAAAGUAUGCAAGCUUAUUUGAAAAUUUUGCACUUUGCUCGCAAAAGCUCGUCCGCGAAUCGGCAACAUGUUCUGUGUAUGAUGUCACGGCCAGUUUGCCUCUGAGGCGGGCCGUAGCAGCUGCCGUUCACGCUUGUGUGAUUCCACGUAUGAUCAGGCAGGCUGGUCCAGACGUGGUCUCAGAUUUUGCUUGAAGAAUUACAGGCUGUUGGCUGAUAUCUCUAGGUCCUGCACCAGUCGGAACCAUCCUUGCCAGCAGGAAAGUACACAAAGACUUGAGAGGUUUAACUUCCACUAUGCCGAAUGGACAGCUUGUACAGCGUCAUGUGACAUCAAGCACUGGAGAGACUCUACUCAAAUUUAAUUUCUGUUCUGUCGCAAUCGCUCAACCUAAAAACCUCGGACACCAUGUGCUGACUGAUGCAAGAGAAGGGUCUCAGAAGUGUGGCAUUUUUUCGGCUACAUUCGGCGAGUCUGGAAACUUAGAACAACACGUGGUGAUCCGCACAGGAGAAAACCCAUUCAGGUGCAAGCUCUGUUCUGCCGCAUUUACCAAGUCUGAGAAUCUCAAGCUCCACAUGAUGACACACACAGGGGAGAAGCCGUAC